AGUGAACGCUGGCGGUAGGCCUAACACAUGCAAGUCGAACGGCAGCACAGUAAGAGCUUGCUCUUACGGGUGGCGACUGGCGGACGGGUGAGGCAUACAUCGGAAUCUACUUUUUCUUGGGGGAUAACGUAGGGAAACUUACGCUAAUACCGCAUACGACCUACGGGUGAAAGCAGGGGAUCUUCGGACCUUGCGCGAUUCAAUUAGCCGAUGUCGGAUUAGCUAGUUGGCGGGGUAAAGGCCCACCAAGGCGACGAUCCGUAGCUGAUCUGAGAGGAUGAUCAGCCACACUGGAACUGAGACACGGUCCAGACUCCUACGGGAGGCAGCAGUGGGGAAUAUUGGACAAUGGGCGCAAGCCUGAUCCAGCCAUACCGCGUGGGUGAAGAAGGCCUUCGGGUUGUAAAGCCCUUUUGUUGGGAAAGAAAAGCAGCAGGUUAAUACCCCGCUGUUCUGACGGUACCCAAAGAAUAAGCACCGGCUAACUUCGUG
rnacentral:rRNA from 1 species